rnacentral:lncRNA from 1 species
UGGGUGGCCCAUCGUACGCGGUGAAGCUUGGAAGAAGAGAUUCAACUACAGCAAGUCGAACUUUAGCCAACGCAGAGUUACCUGCCUUCUUUGAAAGCCUGGAGAGUCUUAUUUCUCGCUUCCAAAACAAAGGCCUUACUGCAAGGGACAUGGUUGCCUUGUCAGGUUCGCAUACUCUUGGGCAAGCUCAAUGCUUCACUUUCCGUGAAAGGAUAUACAAUCACAGCAAUAUCGUUGCCGGAUUCGCUAGCACCCGCAGGAGGCGUUGUCCACGUGUUGGCAGCGACUCAACCUUAGCCCCGCUCAAAAUAAUGGAAAUAUUAUUGCAUCAAUUAUUUACGUAUUUAUUGAAAAUGGUGGAAUAGAUGCUUUAUCCGUCGAAAAACACAUCCAAAACUAAAUUAUCAGACACGCUCUAACGUGAUACAGUUAUGUAAGCCAUCAAUUUUGAUUUAAAACUAGUUGUUCAAAUGGAAAGAGGGCAGUGCAGGACACAGUUACCCUUACUCUAUAUUUGUCCUUUUGUUCGUUUCCUGUGUCUUUCUUUUUUCUUCUAUGCAACAAGAUGAUCUAAGGUAUGACCUUAAGACAGGAAGCAAGGAAUUUCUAUUCUCUUUUCCAGCAAUAUUUUGUAUUUAUUUAGAACACAGAAAGUAUGGGCUGUGUCAUCUCCCUUAUCCCUUUCUUCUUUGGUGGAACAACUUGUGGACUCUACUGUUAUGUGUGGAUCAUGCAGGGAUGGAUCCAGACUUAGCAAAGUGGGAGGUAAAAUCGUAGGCAUAAUUGUUUUUUUGAGUUUGGGGAUUCUUUAAAAAUACUCUAUUUUGAGUUUGUUGUUACCAGUCUAGGAGUCAUUUUGGAAACUACUCAAAUUUUGGUGGGUUAGGCCAUCUCUUGGCAUACUUGUAGGGGUAAACUAAAAACAUCUAAGAUUUAAAAUUUUACCCGACUGAAUUUCUAAUUAAAUCAUGUUAUACAUGUUGCAGUUGACUCAAGUAAAUUUUUAAUUAUUUCAUCGACCUAGUCUAAAUCUAUCAAAUUAACAAGAAAGAUUUUUUUUAAAAAAAAUAUUAUUUUAAUAAAACAAAAAAUUGAUUUGAAGUCGUCCGAUAACCUUUACCAAAUGACCCAUGUGAAUUAUUGGAUUGAGUCUAACAACUGUCAUCCUGGCCACCCUCUAAAUUCAUGUACGGUUUAAAAGGGUGGUGAUAGACACUACUACCCCCAACAUGCAAUCAACUCUUCUUGCAUCUUGACGUUGGUUGACCUUUAUAGACAGGUUUUUUUUUUUUAAAAAAAAACAAAUAUUACGAAUCAAGAAAAUUGCCCCGGUGAAUAAAACCCUGACACGCUAAUAAAAGAAUAAAACAAAUGACCACAAAAAAAAUGAACAAACCACAUCUGAGUCCAACCCUGAUAAUACCCAUAGAUUAGUCAAUGAACACAUAACUUCAUUUCUUUUUUUUAGUUACUCACCAAUGUCGAAGCCCUUCCCACAAACUUUGGCUCAAUAGAUCUUGGCAUCACCAGUAGUUUCUCUGAUCGAUUCUUACCCCACAUUGUUCACAGAUUCUAACAUGACGACAACAAACAUUUCCCCAUCUUCAAUUGUUGUUGAAGUCCUCAGAGGUGAUAACUAUGAUGAUUGGAGUGCCUGCAUGAAAAGCUACAUGUUAGCUCAAGACCUUGGGGAUUUUAUUGAGCCUGCUGUUCUUCAAGAUGUUGACUAUAAGACUUUGAGAAGAAAGAAUGCAGCAGCUUUACAUGCAAUUCAAAUUUCUUGUGCACCAAACAUACUUUCCAAGAUUAGGAGCAUCACUUCAGCCAAAGAUGCCUGGGAUAAUUUGCACCGACAACAUUCACCAAGCCACAAAGAGCAAUCUGUUGAAGCAAAGUCACAAGGCCGUUCAGGUAUACCAUGACCUCAUUCUCUUCCUUUGUUAGAUUUCCAACCACUUCGAUCUCUUGAUGUUAACACGGGAGAGAAUAAAAACCUUGGCAGGACCGGUGAGCAAUGAAAUGAAUGGUCCCUUGCUAACGCUGUACAAGUAUGCCUAUAAUGGAAACUGGGAUGCCAUAAAAACCCAUCUUAGCCAAUACCCAAAUGCAAGAAAGGCCAAGCUUAAACCCUAUGGUGGAACAGUCCUUCAUGUAGCAGCUUUUUCUGGACAUGUGAGGGUUGUGGAGGAGUUAGUGAAGUUGAUGUCAGUAGAAGAAUUGGAAAUACAAGAUAAUCAAGGCAACACAGCUCUUUUUAUUGCUGCCAUUGUUGGAAUAAGAAAGAUGGCAGAAUGUUUGGUGAGAAAGAACGAACACUUGGUUACCUCUGAAAAUGCACAAAAAAAGAUCCCGCUGGUUCAGGCAUGUAUAAGCAACUGUAAGGAUAUGGCUCUUUAUCUAUACUCUGUCACUCCAUUUGAAUUUCUUUGUCAACGCAAUAGCCACCAUGGAUCUUAUUUCCUAAAAUGGGCUAUUGGUGCUCAAAUGCUCGGUAAGAGACUUUACCCCUUAAUUACUUAUUUUCUCUUAUUUUCUUCUUUUUCUUCAUGCUUUUUGCAUAAAUUAAUUUUCUCUUCCGAGUAAAUUAUUAUUUAUUUCCUGUAAUUUAAUAAAAAUAAUUCAUUAAUUUUUUUUUAAGAAAUAUAUGAAUAAUCCUUUUGUUUUUAACUUCAAAUCAUUUUGUCAGUUUCAUGUGAUUUUUUAAUUAAUUAUUUCUUCUUCUUCUUUUUAAAUAAUAGAAAAGGGAAGGAAAAUCAGGUAAGAUGGGAAAUUAAUGCAAUACUAAAUUGAUACGAAACAAAAUGACUUGUAAUUUAUUAACAUUUCAAAACACUAAAAUUAACUUCAAUCAUUUGUUUUUAACUUCUUCUUAUGCUGUUUCUUUUUGCUAUUGCAAUACCAGAAAUUGCUUUUGAUUUUCUACAUCGCUGCCCAAAUUUGGUUCUGAAGUCGAACGCUUUGAUUUAUUUGUCUGACAUGCCUCAUUUAUUCCCAAGCGCAAGUCGACUUACAUUUUGGCAGCAAUGGAUCUAUUCAUGUUAGUAUCUCUUCCUUCGAUUUUUCCUCUUCCCAUUUCUCUUCAAUAUUUCCUCUGCCAAUCUUUUUUACGUAUAAUGUUCUGUAUGUUUUUGGAGAUCAUCACUCCGUUACAAAGAAAGAAAAGCAAAGGUUCUAUAUGAUAUAAUUUUUGUAAAUUUAUACGAGUUAUUUUUUAAUUUUUGACCCAUAGAAAAAUUGUAAAUAUAUUUAGUUAGAAAUGAUUUUUGGUUUAAAUCAAAAUUUAACAAAAACUGAAUCAAAAUUUUAAUGUCAUCUAAAGUUUAGGAAAAAAUUAAACUUUAAUUUAUGAAUUUCAACUUAUAAUAAAGAAUUACUUUAAAUUAUUUUUAUCAAACAUAUUUCUAAAAUAAAGUUUUUUGAACUUAUUCAUGUUAAAAAAUCAAUUUUUUCAUAAGUCAUGUUAGGUAAACUUGAAGUUAUAUUCACUAAGAUUGACUUGAUUCUAAAAUCAUGGCAGGUAUUCCCAUGCAAUCAAUUGCUACAACUGAUGACAAUGUUCUUAUUAAUAUGCCUGAUCAAAGCCUAAGUGAGUCCAAGAACAUUAUCCUCCAAGGUAUUUGCACAAAUCUCUCUCUGUUUUUGUUCAUGGCAAGCACAGGAGACAUGUAUAGAAGUCCAAUUGGACGGUUUCUUGAUAUAUUUAUUUCUAUUUUCCAAAAAUAUAAACUUUAAUUGCUGGGUUUCAACUUAUAAUAUAUCUAUUCUUCAAAAGAAUUACUUUAAAUUAUUUUUAUCAAACAUAUUUCUAAAAUAAAGUUAUUUGAACUUAUUUUUAUAUAUAAAUGAUCUAUAUAAAAAAACAACUUUUAAAAUUAUGAUUCAUGUUAAAAAAUCAUUUUUUUCACAAGUUAUGAUAGGCAAACUUGAAGUUAUAUUCACUAAGAUUGACUUGAUUCUAAAAUCAUGGCAGGUAUUCCCAUGCAAUCAAUUGCUACAACUGAUGACAAUGUUCGUAUUAAUAUUCCUGAUCAAAGCCCAAGUGAGUCGAAGAACAUUAUCCUCCAAGGUAUUUGCACAAAUCUCUCUGUUUUUGUUCCCUCUCCUUUAAUGUAAGGUAGGGCAAGCACAGGACAUAUGUAUAGGAGUCCAAUUGGGCUGCAUGGCCCUUCAAGAUUGUAAAAAUUUUGGACAGUUUUUUGAUAUAUUUAUUUCUAUUUUCCAAAAAUAUAAACUUUUUAGAACCCUAAUCCUAGUAUCCGAUCCUUUAUUCAAUCCCAGAUAUUGCUCUUGUUUAAAUUCAUAGUUAAUUUAAUACAAUUUAAUCAAAUCAUAAUUCAGUGUAAUAUUUCAUCAAUUUUUAGAGAGAAAGGGGCUGUAACUGCAGGGAAAAAAAUCAUGGCAGGUAUUUCCAUGCAAUCAAUUGCUACAACUGAUGACAACGUUCGUAUUAAUAUGCCUGAUCAAAGCCUAAGUGAGUCGAAGAACAUUAUCUUCCAAGGUAUUUGCACAAAUCUCUCUGUUUUUGUUCCCUCUCCUUUAAAGGGGUAGGGCAAGCACAGGACAUAUGUAUACAAGUCCAAUUGGGCUUGAUAUAUUUAUUUCUAUUUUCCAAAAAUAUAAACUUUUUUGUUUAUAUAUGCUGCUUGUGAUAAUUUCUCUAAUUUGUUUUUGUCCAACUUUUCAGUGUCAAGCAAAUUGCGUGGGUUUGCAAUAAAUCUCCUCGCUUUCAUAGGUAAGCAAAAUAUAUCUGACAUCUCUUGAUUUCUGUCAUCAUUAUCAUGGUUUUAUUUGAUCACUCUUUAAUGGUUGAUCUAGGAAUCAAGCAAAUAUAUCUAUUCUUUAUAAGAAUUACUUUAAAUUACUUUUAUCAAACAUAUUUCUAAAAUAAAGUUAUUUGGACCUUUUUUUUAUAUAAAUGAUAUAUAAAAAAACUACCUUUUAAAUUAUGAUUCUGUUAAAAAAUCAAUUUUUUCAUAAGUUACGUUCUCUAAGAUUGACUUGAUUCUAAAAUCAUGGCAGGUAUUCCCAUGAAAUCAAUUACUACAACUGAUGACAAUGUUCGUAUUGAUAUGCCUGAUCAAAGCCUAAGUGAGUCGAAGAACAUUAUCUUCCAAGGUAUUUGAACAAAUCUCUCUGUUUUUGUUCCCUCUCCUUUAAAGGGGUAGGGCAAGCACAGGAUAUAUGCUGCUUGUGAUAAUUUCUCUAAUUUGUUUCUGUCCAACUUUUCAGUGUCAAGCAAAUUGCGUGGGUUUGCAACAAAUCUCCUCGCAUUCUUAGGUAAGCAAAAUAUAUCUGACAUCUCUUGAUUUCUAUCAUCAAUAUCAUGGUUUUAUGUGAUCACUCUUUAAUGGUUGAUCCAGGAAUCAAGCAAAUAUACGAUUUGAAGAAGAUCCACUUUUAUUCAGAUAAAAUUCUACAGUGUAUGUGUAAGCAUAUAUCGACUCUGGAUUUUGAGGAAUACGACAAGGCAGAUGUACAUGGAGCAUUCCACAAUGCUGUAAAGAAUGGCAUGGUUGAGUUUAUUAUUGAGGUGAUAAAAGCUCGUCCUCAUUUAAUGGUUAGUGUAGAUCACAAGUCAAGGAACCUAUUUAUGUCCUCGAUUGCAAACCGGCAAGAAAAAGUGUUCAGCCUUUUCUAUGGACUGGAAGUAGAAAGAGCACUAUUUGUUUCCCUCGUUGAUAUCUCUGAAAAUACAAUGCUACAUUUGGCAGCAAAACUAUCAGCUCCUUCUCAACUAGCUCGGAUCUCUGGUGCAGCUCUCCAGAUGCAAAGAGAACUACAAUGGUACAAGGUGAGCUUUCUACACUCAACAUCUUUAAAAAACUGAUUGCACCUUGAUCAAAUAUAUUUUAGAGCUGAUUAAGACCUAAUUGAUUUGAUUUUAGGGUACCCAUUUACUCAUUUUCAUUGUUAUCCAAAAAGAAAUAAUUUCACUCGAAUUCAAAAAUCUUGAUGCAGGAAGUGGAAAGCAUUACGCAUCCUAUACGUGAGGAUUAUCGUAACAAGGACUAUCAGACAGCCAGGGAAUUAUUCACGUCUGACCAUAAGGACUUGGUAGUGAAAGGAGAGCAAUGGAUGAAAGAAGCAGCAACUUCUUGUACAGUUGUGGGUGCUCUCAUCAUUACAAUUAUGUUUACUGUGGCAUUCACUGUUCCCGGCGGCAACGUUCAAGAGACCGGCUAUCCGGUUUUUAAAGAUGAGAAAUCUUUUACAGUUUUUAUAGUAGCGGAUGCAGUCUCUCUCUUUUCUUCAUCAACAUCGGUGUUGAUGUUCUUAGGGAUUCUUACGUCGCGAUACGCAGAGGAAGAUUUCCUUAAAUCCUUGCCCAAGAAGUUAAUCAUCGGCCUUUCCAUGCUUUUCUUCUCUAUUGCAGCCAUGAUGGUAACCUUCUGUGCUGCUCUUAUAAUCAUGUUGGAUGGGAGAUUGCAACUUAUAAUUCCAAUUGUACUGCUUGCCUCUAUCCCUGUAACUCUUUUCAUGAGGCUGCAAUUUCCCCUGCUAGUGGAGAUUUUUGUAUCCACCUAUGGACCAGGAAUCUUCAAAAGAAAAAUGAAACCCUGGUAUCUUGAUCAAUCUGUUUAGAAAUUCCUAUUUCCCCGGGACUAGUUGUUUUAUGUUCCUCUUAGUAUGUUUAGAGCAUGUAUAGCGCGGUGGUUGUUAUUUUGAUUGCUGAAUCUCUUUGUAAAAGGCUAUAUAAGCCUGCUGUUUGUGAUGAAUAAACAAGAGACUUCUCAUUCAAGACUGUGUGCUGCUGUAGUUUCUUCUGAGUCUUUUUCUACAAAUGGAAGGUUAACCAAUUCCCUUCAUGUGCAUGCUUAUUAAUUUCAGGCCAUUGAGUAUAUUCGUACUGAAUGAGUCCUGCCAAAUUAAGUCAAGCUAUCAUUUUAAGAGAAGAAACAGCGUGCGUUGACAUGAUUUUGAUUAAAAUUAUCUCAAGUGCCAGUUUUAGUUAUGUUUCAAAAGAAAUUGAAAGGGCUAAAGGCGUUUGGAGGCUCAACAACAGGCGCAGCAGCAUUGGUGUCUGCGAGAACAGCUUCUUGAUCACCAGAAGCCUUAAAGGCACUUGGGACACAUGCAUGAUGUCUUUGCUUUUUUACAGUUUUCUUAAUAAAAACUGCUCUCUUGUUUUAUCAAAAAAAACUUCGAUUUUGAUCAAAAAAGAGGUGCAGAGUGCACCUCUUCUAAUAAUAAACAAAGACCUCUUACUAGACGAGACUCCCUCUAUCCAGAGUGAAAAGACUGCCCUCGGCAAUAAAGUAAGACUCUAAGCCUAUUGAUCAUCAAGAAGGUGACUCUAAGGCAUUGAGAAAAAAGAAUGCUACAGCUUUACAUGCAAUUCAAGUUUCUUGUGCGCCACACAUGCUUUCCAAGAUUAGGAGCACCACUUCAGCCAAAGUUGCCUGGGAUACUCUAGCCAAUUUGCAGCAGCAACAUUCACCAAGCCACAAAGAGCAAACUGUUGAAGCAGAGCCGGCAGAAGAUGAUGAGUCACAAGGCCGUUCAGGUAUCUCAUUCUCUUCCUUUGUUAGAUUUACAAUCACUUCGAUCUCUUCCUUUGAAAUAUUCGUGAGUAAAACCAGAUUGAUACUAACAAGAAAAAAAAUGUUCUCUACAUCUACACACACACUCCCAUCCUUCACACUUCCACAUCUGCUAGCUGUUCAAAUGCAGAAACAAGGUUCACUUCAUCCACUUCUUUUUAGCUCUUUUCUGCUCCUCUUAUAUAAUUUUAAUAUAUAUUUUUUCAAUGUAUUUAGGAAUAAUUCUCUCACAGAAGGUAAUGCAAUAUUGGAAGGAUCACAUCAUGGACACCAUCGCAAUGGCUCAGCCAAGCUUUUUGCAUUUUGGGGUUUCCUAAACUGGCUAUGACUGCUCGGUUGGUACUGCAUAUGCAGCUCAUUAUGCUAUCCAGCCUUAAGUUCGAUCAGUUUAUGCCACCGCUAUUAAACCUGGUUUAAUUUGAUAGGUUAAUUUGAGAUUUAACUUAUUUAUUUUUACAUGGACUAGAUUUAAAAAAUAAUAAUUUGAUAUUAAUUUGGUUUGAUCUAGCAAAAAACCCGUGAUCUAAUCAAAACUUUAUUUAAUAUUUUAAAAUUAAAAUGAUAUUUUUUUAAUUAAUGUUGAUGUUGAUUAACCAUUCAAGUCGUGAAUUAGAUCAUAAGCCAGGUCAAGUUUAAUAACUUAUUGCUAUGCAACAUAUUAUGCCUAUCCUGCCAGAAGACAGAUUAGUUUAAGCAACAUAUAAUGCAUAUCCUUACGAAUUAGUCUGAGCAUCCAUGAAGGCUAUCCGGCCUUGAGUUGAAUUCGUUUAUGCAGCCCAUUAUGCCUGAUGAAAAUGUUAAAACUUGGGUGUAAUUGUUUUUGAAAAAAUUAUUUAUUAACAUGAAAAGGAGAAGGAGAAACAAGUAGAUUCACACAAAAUCAAUGGGCAUGAGCACAGUGUGAGUUCAUAAUUCAGGAGAAGCUGCUGCUUCUGCUUUUGCUGCCAUUUCUUUGAGUCGUCUAAUUAAGUGCAAGACUAACUUUUACUCUCACAAAAUUAAUCUAUAGCUUUUGCAAAUGAAUCCAGUUGAUUAACACAAGCUGUUAUCAAAUAUAGAAUAGAGAGAAAAGGGAUAGAAGAUGAAGAAUAAUGCAUGGGAGCUCCUCCUUUUAUAGAAGGAUGAUGAAGCACACUCGUAACGCGUUCGAUUUUCUUAUGACUGCAUGCCAUCAUUAGGUAACUCCUCUUUGUUCUUACCAAUUCAACUAGAGAAUUAUUCUAUCCUUCAAUUCGCUAUUAAAAAAUCCCUUUUUUCUGCACCCAACGCUGCCUUUUCUGGCGGUGAAUAUAAUAUGGGACGACGAUGUGCUACAUGGAAACAUCCUUGUUUUCCAGUACGUUGGUCAAGUGUCUUAUUCAGUCCUUCAUGAGGGAUAUGCGUUGAUUUUGUACGGACAACACAUACUUUUUCAAUCAUGAGACAAUUAGAAAAUUUCAAAGACAAGCAUUGACGAAUUCUAUAGGGAUAAUUAUCCAAAGAGAUGAUUACCCAUACAAUUUUCAGAAAGAUUUAUUUGUGAGAGCUCACUGGUUUCGUGGUGGUAAGAAGACAAAUUCUUUAUUUUCUUAAAGAAAAUAUGAUUUUAUCUAUGAUGAUAAAAUAAAGUAGAAUUAUUCUACAACCACCUUGCAGACGUAAAUUCUUUACUCUUACAUGUCAUUUGGUAUUAUGAAAUUAUAAAGACGUGACCGAAAUAAGUUUUUAAAACAAACAGGAGUGAUACAUAUUGUUAAAACAAUUGAUUGUAUUUUUUGUUAUAAAAAAUAGCAUUGUUUUAAAAGUCAAUCAUUUCUGACCCGAGAUUCAAGUGAUUCUACACCUUAUCUAGGAUGAUUUCCAACAAAUAUAAAAAGUUAAUUGAUCCAAUACAAUCUCGUUAAAAAAUUAAAAAUAGUAGUUCUAAAAACAAAUAAUUGAUUAAAUGUGGAGGCUGAGAAUGAUUCAAAAUCAAAUUAUAUAAGUUUUCAACCAAGCAUUAAUUUCCAUAGUCCAUAUUUUUCAAAUACGUCGAAAGAGGAUACUAACUAACCAGCUGUAAUAUCAGGCCAAAUUAAUUACUCUAUAAUUUAUCGAUUUCAAGUGACAAGUUUUCCUUUCUGGACUGCAUGGUGGCAUUUUAAAUAAUGGAUUUCUAUAAUCUUUUCUGUUAAAAAAACAAAGAAGAUACGCAUCAACAAUGAACGAGCAAAAUGUGUAGGAUUUUAGUUGAGUGGAAGUCAAAGAGAUGUGAAUUAAGAGGGGGGGGGGGGGGGAGUCAAAAAGUGUACGAUUCCUCGAUUGUAUUAUUUAAUUUCAACUUUAAUAAUAAAAUAAUUAUACUAUUGAUAUAUUUUUUGAUGGACAAACGGACAAUUCCUGAUUCUGUCUACCGAUAUAUUUUUUAGUAAAAGACCGCAGCUAUGAGCAACUACUUGCACUAAAAAUACCAAAGCAGCCUCAUUAGAUUACUAUUUCAUAGGAUUUCAUGCAGAUAAAAUAAUUAAUUAAUGGGUCAGGACAAGAAGUGUAAAAAAAUAUAUUAAUGAAUGGCAUGCAGGCAUCAAAUUAGAAAAGUUUCUACGCGUUAUGGCCUUAUAGUUUCUUACCUAGACAAAUCUUGAUUAAUGUGCUUGAUCAGCCUCUAUAAAUAGAUAAGCUCCCAGCAUUCCUCUCCAUCUUCUAUCUCAAUUAUCCAACAGCUUUGUUAACAGCACUUGCAGACUUAGCUAUACAUUUAGCGCGCUAAAAACUAGUUUCUCCAACUGAAAACAUAUAAAAUGGCAGCAAAAGCAGGAGCAGCAGCUUCUUUCAUGUUCAUGCUGUUCUUGCUGAACACAGCAUGCCCAGGCACAACUCUCCCCUGCAUUUUACGACAGCUCCUGUCCUAACGCGCUUAGCGCGAUCCGAACUGCUAUCAGAAGUGCAAUUGCAAGCGACAGGAGAAUGGCUGCGUCUCUCAUCCGCUUACACUUUCACGAUUGCUUUGUCCAGGUACUUUUGCAACUACUUUUGGCAGCCACAUUGCUCCUCUCUGAUUAUGUAUAUUAUCUUGGAGCCAGUGUACUUAUGAGUUGUUCCUUGGUUUUGCAGGGUUGUGAUGCUCGAUCUUACUGGACGAGACUCCUCUAUCCAGAGUGAAAAGACUGCCUCGGCAAUCUUAACUCUGCUAGAGGUUAUAAUGUAAUAGACAAAGCAAAAACUGAAGUUGAGAAGAUCUGUCCGGAGUAGUAUCUUGUGCAGAUAUCAUUGUUGUUGCAGCGAGAGAUGCGUCUGCUUAUGUGAGUAUAUCUAAAUCCAUCUCUUUAUUGCUGUUGGUAUUGCAAGCUGCAAAACCAGGACUUGUUGUUUAUGAUUCUUAUGGAAAAAAUGUCACAGGUGGGUGGCCCAUCCUACCCGGUGAAGCUUGGAAGGAGAGAUUCAACUACAGCAAGUCGAAGUUUAGCCAACGCAGAGUUACCUGCCUUCUUUGAAAGCCUGGAGAGUCUUAUUUCUCGCUUCCAAAAGAAAGGCCUUACUGCAAGGGACAUGGUUGCCUUGUCAGGUUCGCAUACUCUCGGCCAAGCUCAAUGCUUCACUUUCCGUGAAAGGAUAUACAAUCACAGCAAUAUCGAUGCCGGAUUCGCUAGCACCCGCAGGAGGCGCUGUCCACGUGUUGGCAGCGACUCAACCUGAGCCCCGCUCGAUUUGGUC